GACGAACGCUGGCGGCGUGCUUAACACAUGCAAGUCGAACGGAAAGGCCCUGCUUGCAGGGUACUCGAGUGGCGAACGGGUGAGUAACACGUGGGUGAUCUGCCCUGCACUUCGGGAUAAGCCUGGGAAACUGGGUCUAUUACCGGAUAGGAGCCAUUUUUAGCGUGAUGGUUGGAAAGUUUUUUCGGUGUAGGAUGAGCUCGCGGCCUAUCAGCUUGUUGGUGGGGUAAUGGCCUACCAAGGCGGCGACGGGUAGCCGGCCUGAGAGGGUGGACGGCCACCUUGGGUCUGAGAGACGGCCCAGGCUCCUACGGGUGGCAGAUGUGGGGAAUAUUGCACAAUGGGCGCAGGCCUGGUGCAGAGGCGCCGCGUGGGGGAUGACGGCCUUCGGGUUGAAAACUCCUUUCGCUAGGGACGAAGCUUUUUGUGACGGUACCUAGAUAAGAAGCACCGGCUAACUACGUG
rnacentral:rRNA from 1 species